rnacentral:rRNA from 1 species
CCUACGGGAGGCUGCAGUAGGGAAUAUUGCGCAAUGGGCGAAAGCCUGACGCAGCGACGCCGCGUGCGGGAUGAAGGUCUUCGGAUCGUACACCGCUGUCAGCAGGGAAGAACGGUCACUGUGCUAAUCAGCAGUGAAUUGACGGUACCUGCAAAGGAAGCACCGGCUAACUCCGUGCCAGCAGCCGCGGUAAUACGGAGGGUGCGAGCGUUAAUCGGAAUUACUGGGCGUAAAGCGCUCGUAGGCGGUAUGUCAAGUCAAGGGUGAAAUCCCCGGGCUCAACGUGGGAACUGCCUUUGAAACUGGCAAACUAGAGUGUGUGAGAGGAUAGUGGAAUUCCAGGUGUAGGAGUGAAAUCCGUAGAUAUCUGGAAGAACAUCAGAGGCGAAGGAGACUAACUGGGACAUAACUGACGCUGAGGAGCGAAAGCGUGGGUAGCAAACAGGAUUAGAUACCCCGGUAGUC